GACGAACGCUGGCGGCGUGCCUAAUACAUGCAAGUAGAACGCAGUUGCGAACGGGUGAGUAACGCGUAGGUAACCUGCCUCAUUGCGGGGUAUAACUCUUGGAAACGUUAGCAAAAACCGUCUACUGUGAGAUGGACCUGCGUUGUAUUGGCUAGUUGGUGAGGUAAAGGCUCACCAAGGCGCCGAUCCAUAGCCGACCUGAGAGGGUGAUCGGCCACACUGGGACUGAGACACGGCCCAGACUCCUACGGGAGGCAGCAGUGGGGAAUAUUGCACAAUGGGCGCAAGCCUGAUGCAGCCAUGCCGCGUGUAUGAAGAAGGCCUUCGGGUUGUAAAGUACUUUCAGCGGGGAGGCGUUACCCGCAGAAGAAGCACCGGCUAACUCCGUGCCAGCAGCCGCGGUAAUAC
rnacentral:rRNA from 1 species